ACACAAGUUGUUAAAAUAUCUAGCCGAAAAAUUUAACUCGUGUUUGACUUGUUUAUUAACAAGUCGGAUACUAGCUGGCUCGCGAACAACAAGUUAGAUUAUCAGCACUGCUAUUGAAUGAAAAGUUGAAAGAACUAAUAAUUAAAAUUCACAAAAUAUAGGUAUAUAUUUAUUGAGUUGAGUUGGAAUAGUAUCGGUAGCAAAUGGGCUCUGUUGCCACCCAUUUGUUUUCGAUGAUGGCCUCCAAAUCGAUGAUCGGUAUCGUUGAAAGUGAUCUAUACCACUUGAAGUGUUCAGAAAUCAAAUUUCAUAUUUUUCCGAUAUUGUUCUCUCGUUCAUCAAAUGGGAGUAAAAAUGAACGGCUGAAAAUGAAUAUCCUUUAAAAAGUGAUGAUAGGAAUUUUGUAAUCAAGAUCGAGAGUAUAGAUCUUGUUCUAAAUAGUUUAAAGAAUUUUCUAACCAAAAUUUAAUUGAUUUGGAUAACUUUACAGCAUUAAACGAGAAACGCCUCACAUCAACUAUUAAAAUUAUAAAUUUUAAAACCCUUUGAUCAUUAGGUCAAUGAUGUCGAAAAAAUUUGAAAUUUGAUUUCUAGAUACUUCAAGUGAUAUAGAUCAUGUUCAAUUGUGCCGAUCAUCGAUUUGAAGGCUCCAUCAUUGAAAACAAAUAGGUGGCAACGGAGCCCGUUUGCUACUGAUAGUAUUCCAGCUCAACUCUAUUUAUUCGAGCUAUAUUGAGUCUAACACAG
rnacentral:lncRNA from 1 species